rnacentral:rRNA from 1 species
CUGCUCUAUGGAAUCAUUUAGGGUUUAACCUGCUCAAUGAUUAUUAAAUAGCCGCAGUACAUUGACUGUGCAAAGGUAGCAUAAUCAAUUGGCUUAUAAUUGAAGUCUCGUAUGAAUGGGAUUCCGGGGAAUAACUGUCUUAACUAAGUUAUAUAGAAAUUACUUAGUGAGUGAAAAAUCUCAUAUAUAGAAGAAAGACGAGAAGACCCUAGAAAUUUUUUACAAGUAUAUUUUACAUAUUCUAUUUUGUUGGGGCGACAUAGUAACAGUUAACUUACUAUUUAACAUGUUAUUUAUAAAUAGGAAGAAUAAAUUACUCUAGGGAUAACAGCAUUAUUCAAUUUGAGUUUGUGACCUCGAUGUUGGACUAGGAAAUAAUUUAUUUAAAAGAUUAAUUAAAAGGCUCUGUUCGAGCUAAAUUCUCCUAC